rnacentral:tRNA from 1 species
AAAACAUCAGUUUUCUACUCUUAUAUGAUAGUAUAAUAAUUACAACUUGUUUACACCAAGUAAAUCGUA